rnacentral:rRNA from 1 species
GAUGAACGCUGGCGGCGUGCCUAAUACAUGCAAGUCGAGCGAACAGACGAGGAGCUUGCUCCUCUGACGUUAGCGGCGGACGGGUGAGUAACACGUGGAUAACCUACCUAUAAGACUGGAAUAACUUCGGGAAACCGGAGCUAAUACCGGAUAAUAUAUUGACACGCUUGGUUCAAUAGUGAAUGACGGUUUUGCUGUCACUUAUAGAUGGAUCCGCGCCGCAUUAGCUAGUUGGUAAGUUAACGGCUUACCAAGGCAACGAUGCGUGGCCGACCUGAGAGGGUGUAGGGCCACACUGGAACUGAGCCACGGUCCAGACACCGACGGGAGGCAGCAGUAGGGAAGCGUCCGCAAUGGGCGAAAGCUUGACGGAUCAACGGCGGGCGAGUGAUGAAGGUCUGCGGGUCGGAAAACGCUGUUAGUGGUGAAGACCAAAUGUGUAAGUAACUAUGCACUGCGUGACGGUACCUAAUCAGAAAGCCACGGCUAACUACGUG